rnacentral:lncRNA from 1 species
CAGGUAGUAAUACAUAUUUUUAUCUAGAAAAGAAAUUUGGUUUACAGAGGCAUAAACAUUUAGUAGUUACGUUUAUCAAUGUUUGUUUCAUAAGAGAAGCCUCAGUUUCUUCACUGAGUCAUCUGUACAUUUUUUAUUCCUUACCAUCAAUAAUUCUCAGGACUGUCAGACGCCUUUACAAGAAACAUGUAGGGUUUUUUCCCCCCAAUUUGAGUACAUACUACUGUUAACUGCAAAAUUCUAAAGAAGUCAGUUGCCAUUUGUCAAACAAUUCGCCCAAGGUACACCGAUUUGGGAUACUUUCUUUCAGAGCCGGCCACUGAACAAUGAAGUAAUCUGAGAGAUGAAACAGAAUCUUUCCGGACAUGGAUAACGUUUCUACACGGCAGAUGCUUUCAACGUAGACAAUGAUCACUUUCUUUAUUCCUAGUAUCCCAAGGAGAAAGGCAGAUACACAGAUAGGAACACAUGUUCCUGGUCCAUUACACAACACCUGAAAGAAAAAGUUGAAGGUCAAAUGAAAAUACAGAAUAAUAAUCUAAGGGAGGCAUUUUGCAUUAAGAACAGCCUGAUCUCAGAGGGGAUCUGCUUAUGAUUCUAAUAAGUCCUUCUCUGUCAAGAACCAGGAUGCAGCAAACAGCGCAUGUUUAAGCCCAUGCACUUUGGAGCCAGGCAGAGCUGUGUUGUCUUGGCUCUCUUGCUUACCAACUGUGUGACUCAGGGCAAAUCACUUAACUUCUAACUUCUAGCACAGUUCCUGGUGCUCAGUCAGCACUCAUCGGACAGGCAUGUGUUGCUCUUCUCUGACUGCUCUGUGGACCUUGAAUAUCACAUAAAAAUACAGAAAACAAAAUCAACUGAGAUUCACUGUUUUCUUUAAUGUACCAACUUAUUCUUGAUUUGGGAGAAAAUGUCUUUAAUUG